rnacentral:tRNA from 1 species
GGGUGACUAGUCUAGUGGUCAGGACGCUUCGUUGUGGUUAUUCUUCGCAAGAAUAUCACAUACGAUCCGAAGAAACCCCGGUUCGAUUCCGGGGUCGCCCA